rnacentral:lncRNA from 1 species
UAAGUUUCAGGAGAGCGGUCUAAAGUCUCGCUCACCACUGCUUUUCGUCCUCCCUCACCUAAGGCCCUGGAUGCGGUGAGAUGCAGGUGAGCCUCUGAGGAGAAUACUGACGGGGCCAGAGGACCCACCAAGUUCUAGGUAAGAGCUUGUUGAAAGGUGGAGAAAAGGACAGUCCUACAAAGCAGUGUGCCCUUAUUCUGGGAUAUGGAAAGACCAAGUUUCAUCAUGAACAUGGCAAAAGGUUCAGACUUUGAGAACGCUCUCCGAAGACCAACAUGAGAGAAAACUGUAAUACGGAUACCAACUCUUUUUACAAGGUUCUGUUUACCAGGACAUCCUAGCAAACACUCGGUUGGGCUGCGACUACUGUGCACUGUUUUGGUGAGACCAAAGUGCCAGUGCUAACAAGCACAUUGACUGGUACCCGGGAAGACUUGAAUGAGUAGAAAAAGAUUCUGUCUACCUAAGUACCCAGAGAUGAUCUGUGGAUUGCCAGGCUCUUCCUCUAUCCGUUUGAGAACUAUAUCCAAGUGCACUAAGGGCAAGCUUACCAAAGUCUGAUCGUUCACUCACUGGUGAAUGAAUGACCUCCAGCCAGAUACUAUCCAAGCUGGUGAGAAAAAGUGCACACCCAUUACAUUUACCCUCAUGCUGCUGUAUGAAGAGAGUUUACUAUCAGUGGG